rnacentral:rRNA from 1 species
GACGAACGCUGGCGGCGUGCUUAACACAUGCAAGUCGAACGGAAAGGCCCUGCUUUUGUGGGGUGCUCGAGUGGCGAACGGGUGAGUAACACGUGAGUAACCUGCCCUUGACUUUGGGAUAACUUCAGGAAACUGGGGCUAAUACCGGAUAGGAGCUCCUGCUGCAUGGUGGGGGUUGGAAAGUUUCGGCGGUUGGGGAUGGACUCGCGGCUUAUCAGCUUGUUGGUGGGGUAGUGGCUUACCAAGGCUUUGACGGGUAGCCGGCCUGAGAGGGUGACCGGCCACAUUGGGACUGAGAUACGGCCCAGACUCCGACGGGAGGCAGCAGUGGGGAAUAUUGCACAAUGGGCGGAAGCCUGAUGCAGCAACGCCGCGUGCGGGAUGAAGGCCUUCGGGUUGUAAACCGCUUUCGACUGUGACGAAGCGUGAGUGACGGUAAUGGGUAAAGAAGCACCGGCUAACUACGUG